ACACACGUGGCGAAACGGUAUUAGGCUUGUCUUCCACUCCAACCGUUAGCAAGUGGUAAGAGUUCGACUCCCUUCGUGUAUA